rnacentral:rRNA from 1 species
UACCCGCAGCUCAAGUGGUGGUCAUUAUUAUUGGGCCUAAAGCGUCCGUAGCUGGCUUGUUAGAUGCCUGGGUAAAUCGAUGCGCUUAACGUAUCGAAUUCCGGGUAGACCGGCAAGCUCGAGACCGGGAGAGGCGUGAGCUACUCGAGGGGUAGGGGUAAAAUCCUGUAAUCCUUCGGGGAGGACCAGUGGCGAAGGCGUCACGCUAGAACGGCUCUGACAGUGAGGGACGAAGCCCUGGGGCCGCAAACC